rnacentral:rRNA from 1 species
GAAUAUUGGACAAUGGGGGCAACCCUGAUCCAGCCAUGCCGCGUGAGUGAUGAAGGCCUUAGGGUUGUAAAGCACUUUCGAUGGGAACGAAAUGUGCCGGGUUAAUACCCCGGCAAGCUGACGUUACUCAAUGAAGAAGCACCGGCUAACUCUGUGCCAGCAGCCGCGGUAAUACAGAGGGUGCGAGCGUUAAUCGGAAUUACUGGGCGUAAAGCGCACGUAGGUGGCGACGUAAGUCGGGUGUGAAAGCCCCGGGCUCAACCUGGGAAUUGCAUUCGAGACUGCAUUGCUGGAGUACGGAAGAGGAGGGCGGAAUUCCCGGUGUAGCGGUGAAAUGCGUAGAUAUCGGGAGGAACAUCAGUGGCGAAGGCGGCCCUCUGGUCCAGUACUGACACUCAAGUGCGAAAGCGUGGGGAGCAAACAGG